rnacentral:rRNA from 2 species
AUGACGGGAGCUUGCUCCUUGAUUCAGCGGCGGACGGGUGAGUAAUGCCUAGGAAUCUGCCUGGUAGUGGGGGACAACGUUUCGAAAGGAACGCUAAUACCGCAUACGUCCUACGGGAGAAAGCAGGGGACCUUCGGGCCUUGCGCUAUCAGAUGAGCCUAGGUCGGAUUAGCUAGUUGGUGGGGUAAUGGCUCACCAAGGCGACGAUCCGUAACUGGUCUGAGAGGAUGAUCAGUCACACUGGAACUGAGACACGGUCCAGACUCCUACGGGAGGCAGCAGUGGGGAAUAUUGGACAAUGGGCGAAAGCCUGAUCCAGCCAUGCCGCGUGUGUGAAGAAGGUCUUCGGAUUGUAAAGCACUUUAAGUUGGGAGGAAGGGCAGUAAGCUAAUACCUUGCUGUUUUGACGUUACCGACAGAAUAAGCACCGGCUAACUCUGUGCCAGCAGCCGCGGUAAUACAGAGGGUGCAAGCGUUAAUCGGAAUUACUGGGCGUAAAGCGCGCGUAGGUGGUUCGUUAAGUUGGAUGUGAAAGCCCCGGGCUCAACCUGGGAACUGCAUCCAAAACUGGCGAGCUAGAGUACGGUAGAGGGUGGUGGAAUUUCCUGUGUAGCGGUGAAAUGCGUAGAUAUAGGAAGGAACACCAGUGGCGAAGGCGACCACCUGGACUGAUACUGACACUGAGGUGCGAAAGCGUGGGGAGCAAACAGGAUUAGAUAC